rnacentral:rRNA from 1 species
AUUGAACGCUGGCGGCAGGCCUAACACAUGCAAGUCGAGCGGGGACUUCGGUCCUAGCGGCGAACGGGUGAGUAAUGUUUGGGAAUCUGCCCAGUAGUGGGGGAUAACGUCCCGAAAGGGACGCUAAUACCGCAUACGUCCUACGGGAGAAAGAGGGGGAUCUUCGGACCUCUCGCUAUUGGAUGAGCCCAAGUCGGAUUAGCUAGUUGGUAGGGUAAUGGCCUACCAAGGCGACGAUCCGUAGCUGGUCUGAGAGGAUGAUCAGCCACACUGGAACUGAGACACGGUCCAGACUCCUACUGGAGGCAGCAGUGGGGAAUAUUGGACAAUGGGCGAAAGCCUGAUCCAGCCAUGCCGCGUGUGUGAAGAAGGCCUUCGGGUUGUAAAGCACUUUAAGCGGGGAGGAAGGUUCGCGGCCUAAUACGUCGCGGAAUUGACGUUACCCGCAGAAUAAGCACCGGCUAACUCUGUG